GAGGGCAGAGCCGUUGAGGGCAGUGGGUGUCCAGGAAGACAAGAGUGUGGGAGGCCAGGGGAGCUGCUCCGGGCUUAGAGAUGUGGCGGGUCUCCCCGAGCACCCUGAAGCUGCCCUUUCAAGGCAUCUCCCAUGACGGCCAAGGCUGGGCCGGGUACCUCUGGGAGCGGCAUCACCAUACCCCGAAGGAGAAGUUCCAGUACCAAUCGUGUCAUCUUGGGAGUACGGCUGGCACGUGGGGGAUGCCACGAAGGACUCCAGGAUGCCAACUUAUGCCAGAGUCCAGCCCAUCACAAAGACAUUUUACAUCAAAAGUGACAUCUUCCAUGUUCCACGGCGAACGGACGAGCUCAUGUGAACUCCGGGGAAGGGGAAGGGCCCUCGGCUGCUCCCUUCCUUUCCUCACGAUCAACUGCAGGGACACGGUGCCAGCCACCCCGGCCUCCUUGGCUGAGCACAGAUCAGCACCAGGGAGCCGCUAACACAGGCCUACCUCUGGGGUGCGCUGGACCCAGCCCGGGCCUCUGCUGUACUCAUGGACCUCCACUCCUAGCAGAGCUGUCCCCACCCUACUGUCAGCAGCAAGGAGUGGGGUGGGCACUCCUUACCGGGGGAGACAAUGGAGCUCCCAGUGUUACGUCAGCAGACCAGGCAGAGGGCUCGCUAAGUCCUCGAGUGCUAAGGGCAGUGAAAACUGCUUUCCAGUUUUCUAGAUUCUGUUGAAGGGUCCACAGCUGAGUUGUGUGGUCCCAGUGUAUCCCACAGUUUGUGGAAAAAGUCAUUUCAUUUUUACUCACUACUUCUUGGUCACCCCUAAGAGCCUAUUAGUCAGGUUACCUCUCUGCUAUGACAAACAAUCCCUAAAACCUAGUUGUUUAUGCCAAUAAAGAUGUACUUCCUCCACCACAGUCCCACUGGUAUUCAGUGCACAACCUUCUACCUGCUGCUGUCCGGGACCCCUGUUCGAUGGCUGUGUCAUGACCUAA
rnacentral:lncRNA from 1 species